rnacentral:lncRNA from 1 species
GAUUUCUGUAAUCAUUUUUAGAUGCAAGAAGUAAUAAAAACUACCCAGCUCAUAAAGGGACAGAUUGAGUCUGCUUUGUUCCUCCCUUGUAGGAGAUGAGGUAACUUUUUUUUUCUGUCUACAGAGCAAAUGGUGUUGGCAUCAUAGCAGUUUUGAUGAAUAAAUGAAUGGCCAUGUUAGUGGCCAUACACAUUCACUGAGAAUCUUGCUUGUUGGCACUUGGCACAUUCACGGAAACAAACCAUCCAGGAGACUCCAAACAGAGGCAUUGAGAGGCCAUGCACUGUGAUGUCCUGGGUGAUGAUGGGCUGUCCUGCUUCUUUGAGACCUGUCCUCACACCCUGUCACCAGCACCCCAACAAGCCUUUUGGAAUUUAAGGUGGAUUAUUCAAGUUACUCUCUGCUGCAGCUACAGGCCAAGAAACUCCAAGAAGCAAGAGCAACCAUCAGCAACUAAGAAGAGCUGUGGAAGGAGCCCCCUCUAAGUCUUUUGGUGAAUGGCCCUAAGAAUCUCCACUUUAAAGUCAUGGCCUCCAGCACUGUGAGAGAAUAAAUUUCUGCUGCUUGAAGCCUCCUAGUCUGUGUCAAUUUGUUAUGAAAAUCCCCAGAAGCCUCCUACAUCUUCCAUAAGAAC